rnacentral:rRNA from 1 species
GACGAACGCUGGCGGCGUGCUUAACACAUGCAAGUCGAACGGAAAGGCCCUGCUUUUGUUGGGUGCUCGAGUGGCGAACGGGUGAAUAACACGUGAGUAACCUGCCCUUAUCUUUGGGAUAACUUCUGGAAACUGGGGCUCUUACCGGAUAUGAUCUCCUGCUCCAUGUUGGGGGUUGGAAAGUUUCGGCGGUUGGGGAUGGACUCGCGGCUUAUCCGCUUGUUGGUGGGGUAGUGGCUUACCAAGGCUUUGACGGGUAGCCGGCCUGAGAGGGUGACCGGCCACAUUGGGACUGAGAUACGGCCCAGACUCCUACGGGAGGCAGCAGUGGGGAAUAUUGCACAAUGGGCGGAAGCCUGAUGCAGCAACGCCGCGUGCGGGAUGACGGCCUUCGGGUUGUAAACCGCUGUCGCCUGUGACGAAGCGUGAGUGACGGUAAUGGGUAAAGAAGCACCGGCUAACUACGUG